UACGUAGGCAGCAAGCGUUGUUCGGAAUUAUUGGGCGUAAAGAGCGUGUAGGCGGCCAGACAGGUCCGUUGUGAAAACUCGAGGCUCAACCUCGAGACGCCGAUGGAAACCGUCUGGCUAGAGUCCGGAAGAGGAGAGUGGAAUUCCUGGUGUAGCAGUGAAAUGCGCAGAUAUCAGGAAGAACACCCGUGGCUAAGGCGGCUCUCUAGUACGGUACUGACGCUGAGACGCGAAAGCGUGGGGAGCGAACAGG
rnacentral:rRNA from 1 species